rnacentral:snRNA from 1 species
GUUGAUGCCUUUGGACAUUUGGUCAAUAUGAAACGAUACAGAGAAGGUUAGCGAAGUCCCUGCACUGUGGAUGACACGCUCAAUCGAAGAGAAGCUACCAAUUCAA